rnacentral:SRP_RNA from 1 species
ACCAGGCACGAUGCCUGCAGUCCCAGCUACUCAAGAGGCUGAGGCUGAGGCUGGAGGAUCGCUUGAGUCCAGGAGUUCUGAACUGUAGUGCUCUAUGCCGAUGGGUCGUCCGCACUAAGUUCAGCAUCAAUAUGGUGACCUCCCGGGACCGGGGGACCACCAGGUUGCCUAAGGAGGGGUAAACCGGCCCAGGUCAGAAAUGGAGCAGGUCAAAACUCCCGUGCUGAUCAGUAGUGGGAUCAUGCCUGUGAAUAGCCACUGCACUCCAGCCUGGGCAACCUAGCGAGACCCUGUCUCU